rnacentral:rRNA from 1 species
AGUGAACGCUGGCGGUAGGCCUAACACAUGCAAGUCGAACGGCAGCACAGUAAGAGCUUGCUCUUACGGGUGGCGAGUGGCGGACGGGUGAGGAAUACAUCGGAAUCUACUUUUUCGUGGGGGAUAACGUAGGGAAACUUACGCUAAUACCGCAUACGACCUACGGGUGAAAGCAGGGGAUCUUCGGACCUUGCGCGAUUGAAUGAGCCGAUGUCGGAUUAGCUAGUUGGCGGGGUAAAGGCCCACCAAGGCGACGAUCCGUAGCUGGUCUGAGAGGAUGAUCAGCCAAACUGGAACUGAGACCAGGGCCAGACUCCUAAGGGAGGGAGCAGGGGGGAAUAUUGGACAAUGGGGGCAAGCCUGAUCCAGGCAUACCGCGUGGGUGAAGAAGGCCUUCGGGUUGUAAAGCCCUUUUGUUGGGAAAGAAAAGCAGCAGGUUAAUACCCCGCUGUUCUGACGGUACCCAAAGAAUAAGCACCGGCUAACUUCGUG